UCUCACACUUCACCUGUAAUUAUGAGACCAGACCACCACAAUGAAAAGAUGUGGCUAAACUCAUGUUUGCACAUUAGCCUACUAUUGCAGCAUAGUUAAGCUCACACAGCAAACAUGUAGCAACCACUGUUAUCAAAUUCUUACCACUCCCACAUGACUAACAAUACGCCUCAAUGAACAAGCCCAACGCUGAUGUUUGGUGUGAUUCUGAAACUCAAAGAAAGUGUUCGCUGUUAGGGUGUAUGCUUGUCUAUGGGCGCGGUCCAUCCACCAGUGAAGUGUGAAAUCCUGAACACUUCUAUUACAACAUUAACAGGAUGUUUCACUUGUUUGAAACAUCUGAACGACAACUCUCGUACAUUACCUAGCCUACUGGCAAACAGAAAUAGGUGUCAAAGUUAUAGUCAUGAUCUAUAGCUUUCCUUAAAUUAAAAAUAUGGAAGUUAGUAGCCUUAUGUUCAUCUAUUUAAAAAAACAACAACAAAAAAACAACCGAGUUCAAGCUCGUAGACCACCCAGAUACCGUUCAACUCUCCCAAAAAGCCCAAAAUAUAGUAUAAAACUGUCCAUCUCACACCUCAUUCAAGGCCUGGAUGUUAUUAUAAUAUCUUCAACCGUCGUGCUGUCAUAGCAACAAGAGAACCAUCGUAAUAUUGCACGUCUCCAAUUCAAGAGUAAACUUGUGUGAAUAUGUGCGUUUUAUGAGUCACGGAGAUCAGAUUAAAGACUUCGUAGUGUCAAUGGCAUCCAGAGAUUUGUGUGAACAUGUUCAGGUAUGACAACAUCCCUCUCCAUCUGCCUGGCGACCGUAUAUACAGGCGCUAGAUGGGAAAAGUCUGUCAAUAACAUGGAACAUAGAGGAUCUUUCUGAAGAAAUAUUUCCCGCCACCCCACGAUGCCUAAAAUGCUUUCCUCGAAGAUUCGGAUCUACGAGUUCAAGGACCUCAUUCGGAACAAUAAAGAACCCAAAACGAAAAGGCAGAAAAACAAUAUCAGAUGUGUUUUGAUUCAGAAAAAUACUGAGGACUCUCAUUAUCAGUAAGUUUUUAAAUUAUAUAUAUAUAUAUAUAUAUUUUUUUUUUUUACUUUAAACUUUAAAUUUCAACACUGAAAUCAUCAGUUUAUGUGUACUUUAUGCAUAAGCACUCAUUUUAAAGCCAGACUGUUUUUGCCUUUACUAAUUCAUUCCUUCAGUGUGAAAAAAACAAAAACAAAUUUCAAAUACAAAUGUCCAUGCAGUCUUCAUAAAAUAAUUAGAAAAAGAUGGGUUAAAAUAAAAAUCACUAAUUUCUUGUAAUUUCUUCAUCUUUUUAAGCUACAAGACCAUGGGCUAAAGCUAGCUGAUCUGCUAGAAAAUAAAGACUACCUGGAUGCCUUUCGUUCAUUUCUCCAGUCUGAGUUUAGUGCGGAGAACAUUGAAUUUUGGCUUGCCUGCAGGGAAUAUAAGCAGAUGACUUCAUCUGGCAAACUCUUUAACAAAGCAGCAGAUAUCUACAAAGAGUUUCUCCAUCCCAUGGCUCAAAAGGAGGUAAACAUCGACCAUCACAUUCGUGAGAAGAUCAAGAGAUCCUUGGUGAAGCCUGACCUCACUUGUUUUGAUGAAGCCGAGAUGCAUAUAUACAGACUUAUGGAAGAAGACUCCUGCCCAAGGUUCCUCAAAUCUGAGGCCUUUCAGAACCUGAGGAACGCAGCCAGGAACCCAGUGUUGACCAGCCAAUGACAACUAAUUCACUGGAAAAUGUUUCUUAAUGAGCCAGCGCGCAGAAAGCGGACAUAUGCACGUGGUUUAGAGGAAAUGACAGAGGAGAACAGAAAGUAUGUGGUGUGCAGAGGCUCUGCUUCAUUGGUUUAAGUGAUAAGAUGAAUGAGAAAAAGAAAAGUGUCACCGUUACAGGAAAUGAUCAAGAAUGAAUGUACGUUACAUGGUUUCCACUGUUAUUUGAGAGAUGGGCUGGACCGUUCUGUGAAAUGGGUGACCUUUUUAAACGUUGGUCUUGAAAGUAGAUUUCUGUUAGACUGUAUGAGACAAAUAUGUUUAAGUGUUGAGAAAUUGUAUUGAGGAAUCUAAAGAUAAACAUUGUUAGUUAGUUGACAUCAAACAGCAUUUUGCUAAUAAAAAAAUAAAAUAAAA